GACGAACGCUGGCGGCGUGCCUAAUACAUGCAAGUCGAGCGAACUUUUGGGAGCUUGCUCCCAAAAGUUAGCGGCGGACGGGUGAGUAACACGUGGGCAACCUGCCUGUAAGACUGGGAUAACUUCGGGAAACCGGAGCUAAUACCGGAUAAUUCUUAUCAACUCAUGUUGGUAAGCUAAAAGACGGUUUCGGCUGUCACUUACAGAUGGGCCCGCGGCGCAUUAGCUAGUUGGUGAGGUAACGGCUCACCAAGGCAACGAUGCGUAGCCGACCUGAGAGGGUGAUCGGCCACACUGGGACUGAGACACGGCCCAGACUCCUACGGGAGGCAGCAGUAGGGAAUCUUCCGCAAUGGACGAAAGUCUGACGGAGCAACGCCGCGUGAGUGAUGAAGGUUUUCGGAUCGUAAAACUCUGUUGUUAGGGAAGAACAAGUACGAGAGUAACUGCUCGUACCUUGACGGUACCUAACCAGAAAGCCACGGCUAACUACGUG
rnacentral:rRNA from 1 species